rnacentral:sRNA from 1 species
GCUCUUAACCGCUGAGCCAUCUCUCCAGCCCUAUGUGGCAUAUUCUUAACUCUUGAUUCUGAAGUCACUGUUCUAUGCCUGUAAUCAUGGGGUGUGGCUUACACCAGACAGAAGUGCACUCUGGCAGCACUUCUUGCACAAAAGUAUUUCUGCUCUCUGAGUUAUAUAGUGUGUUAAUGGUAGAGCUGUCGGAUGCUAGACAUAUGUAUGUACUCAGUUACACUAAGUUACAGUGCAGAGGAAGGAAGAAACCCCAGUUACUGCACCGGGGCUGCACCCUCACCAACCAGUCUUCACACAUCCCUCAAGACGUAAAUGUGCAUGGAGAGAACUUGCAUGCUCUGGACUAUGUCACUAAGCACAUCCUACAUAAUUUUACCUGGUAGUAAUCUGGGAGGCAGAUUGUUUUCUGCAACAGAGUCCCCAACAACUUGUUCUCUCUCUCCCAGGUCACAGUGUUCCACCAUAAAACACAGCACAGAUUUGUAGUGACAGGAGCCAUGCCAGUUAAGCAAACAGGACAGGAAGGAAGGGGCUCUCUCAAAGGUCACAUUCAUCUUGGGGUUAAUUCCAAGGGCUGUCAACUUGGAUCCUGUGAGACCUUACUGCAGUUUACUUAGAAUUUGUGAUCCCAAUGAUCCAAAGGUGCUUUACUUGCUGUAACUAUGUGGGAGCACCUUCCCCUAAGGUAGGUAAGGUGAGCCCUUUAAGGGUCACCUGAGUGUGACUUCCUGACUUUCGCCAGCACUUGUCCAAAAUAUUCUAUUUCCCCUUUCAUAUGUGUUUAUGGAAAGCAACUGAAUGUAGUCACAUUUGCAGACAAUUAGAUGCAAGAAGACUGUGGAUUACUUUGUAGUGUCUUAUCAGGUCGCUAGUGAUCAGACUUGUGCUGGUUAGGUGUCCAGUGAACUAGUAGUGCUGAAAGGGAAAGUUGGGCUCAGUUCCCUUUGUUUCAGAGUACAUUGUGUUGAUGUGUAAGUUACUGACCCAUAUGAGAAUACACCAGAUCUCUGGGCUCAUCUUAAAAACAGGUUUUUAUCAGAUAAAGUCAGCACCAGGAUGGCACUGACGCUGCUUUAGGUGAGAGUACUUGCCCUCUUCCUUCUGGCAUCUGUCUCUGCUACGCUGACCUUUACCCUGUGAGGGCUGGAGGAAGGCACUGAGCAGAGGACAAAGUUGACCCAGCUUGUAGUACAUGUUCCCACCAAUCCCACGGAAGCCCAGCAGGCCCAUGCCUCUUCAAGUUAAACCUUCAGCUACAUCUGUGGCCAGAGGCUAGAGAUGUCUACUC